rnacentral:rRNA from 1 species
GAGGGGGAUAACACUUGGAAACAGGUGCUAAUACCGCAUAACAGUUUAUGCCGCAUGGCAUAAGAGUGAAAGGCGCUUUCGGGUGUCGCUGAUGGAUGGACCCGCGGUGCAUUAGCUAGUUGGUGAGGUAACGGCUCACCAAGGCCACGAUGCAUAGCCGACCUGAGAGGGUGAUCGGCCACACUGGGACUGAGACACGGCCCAGACUCCUACGGGAGGCAGCAGUAGGGAAUCUUCGGCAAUGGACGAAAGUCUGACCGAGCAACGCCGCGUGAGUGAAGAAGGUUUUCGGAUCGUAAAACUCUGUUGUUAGAGAAGAACAAGGACGUUAGUAACUGAACGUCCCCUGACGGUAUCUAACCAGAAAGCCACGGCUAACUACGUGCCAGCAGCCGCGGUAAUACGUAGGUGGCAAGCGUUGUCCGGAUUUAUUGGGCGUAAAGCGAGCGCAGGCGGUUUCUUAAGUCUGAUGUGAAAGCCCCCGGCUCAACCGGGGAGGGUCAUUGGAAACUGGGAGACUUGAGUGCAGAAG